rnacentral:lncRNA from 13 species
AAUUCCACAGGGAUGCUGGCCCAUGGUGACUCCAAUGCUUCCCACAGAUUUGUUAAAUUGGUUACAUGUCCUUUGGGUGGUGGGCCUUUCUUGAUACACACGGGAAACUGUUGAAAAACCCAGCAGCGCUGCAGUUCUUGGCACACUCAAACCAAUAUGCCAGGCACAUACACCCAUACCCCGUUCAAAGACAUUCCAAUAUUUGGUCUUGCCCAUUCACCCUCUGAAUGGCACACAUACUCAAUCGAUUUCUCAAUUGUCUCAAGGCAUAAAAAUAAUUAUUUAACCCCGUCUCCUCCCGUUUCAUCGACACUGACUGAAGUGGAUUUAACAAGUGACAUCAUUAAGGGAUCAUAUCUUUCACCUGGAUUCACCUGGUCAGUCUGUACCUCACGUUGAAGAAAGGUUGGGAACUCAACCUCACAACACGUCAAACCAAUAAAAUGCCUUUUGCUUGGGACACCAAAUGAGUGUCGUAGGACCUACAGUGUAAUAAGGAACGGCACCAGGGACAGGAAGCAGCUAGUCACAACGAGGGUUGUUUUGAGAAAAGUCAGCUAAUCUUGUAAACUACUUAGGUACAACUAGCUACUGUUAGCUACUAGCUAGUUCAAUUUUACCUCACAAUUAUAAAAGCCAACAUCUUAAUAAAAACAGCAUAUUAUUGACUUAAAAAGGUUUGGCUGUGAGCCCAGUAUCUAGCUUAUACAGGGUCAGUGGUAGGCCGACAUAGAGCAACCAUGCACUGUCUAUCUGGGGCGGCAGGUAGCCUAGUGGUUAGAGCGUUGUGGUUAGAGCGAAUCCCUGAGCUGACAAGGUAAAAAUGUCUCGUUCUUCCCCUGAACAAGGCAGUUAACCUACUGUUCCUUGGCUGUCAUUGAAAUUAAGAAUUUGUUCGUAACUGACUUGCCAAGUUAAAUUAAAGGUUAAAUUAAAUAAGUACAAAAAAAGAAAUCUCCCCUCAACUCUGGACCUCGAAGUGAUUUCCACUCCUUUAAAAAAAAAAAUGUCCCCCUCUAAUCAGGGACUGAUUUAGACCUGGGACACCAGGUGGGUGAUUCCCCUCUAAUCAGGGACUGAUUUAGACCUGGGACACCAGGUGGGUGAUUCUCCCUCUAAUCAGGGACUGAUUUAGACCUGGGACACCAGGUGGGUGAUUCCCCUCUAAUCAGGGACUGAUUUAGACCUGGGACAUCAGGUAGGGGAUUCCCCUCCAAUCGGGGACUGAUUUAAACCUGGGUCACCAGGUGGAUGUAAUUAAUGAUCAGGUAGAACAGAGAACCAUCAGGCUCUGGACCUGGUAGGGUCAGAGUUGAAUACCCCUGGUCUACUAUCUACUAUGGGAACAACUGCAACCUUUUUGCAAGCAACAUUGCUAAAAAAAAAUAAUAAAAUAACAUUUACCUCAUAAUAUAUGUUAACUGGAAUGCUCAUCUCCUGUAGCCUAAUUGUCAUCUCCUUAUUUUCAUACCGUACCUAAAUUGCAAGGGUUGGAUUUGUACUAAACCCUUUUAUAUGUCAGAACUUAAAAGGAAUGUACAAAAUCUGGAAUCUGGAAUACUUUGUCUACUGAUAAAACUUUAAAUUGACAACAUUAGCUCAACAUGUACAUAAUGCCUCAUUGGUGAUGCAUGCUAUAUGAUGAGCAACAGAAUGGGUUCAGAUAGCUGAUAUACUGAGAAAGAGUGACAAUCAAAUCAAAUAGAUUUCUCAUCUUACAACUAGACAAAAUGAAAAUGUUGUUUUGAGAAUACAACACUAUCUGUCUUUUAGGGCAGCAGGGUAGCCUAGAGGUCAGAGCGUUGAGCCAGUAACCAAAAGGUUUCUGGAUCGAAUCCCCGAGCUGACAAGGUACAAAUCUGUCGUUCUGCACCAUGAACAAGACAGUUAACCCACUGUUCCUAGACCAGUUAACCCACUGUUCCUAGACCAGUUAACCCACUGUUCCUAGACCAGUUAACCCACUGUUCCUAGACCAGUUAACCCACUGUUCCUAGACCAGUUAACCCACUGUUCCCAGACCAGUUAACCCACUGUUCCCAGACCAGUUAACCCACUGUUCCUAGACCAGUUAACCCACUGUUCCUAGACCAGUUAACCCACUGUUCCUAGACCAGUUAACCCACUGUUCCUGGGCCAUCGUUGAAAAUAAGAAUUUGUUCUUAAACUGACUUGCCUAGUUUAAAUAAAGGUUAAAUUUAAAAAAAGAAUACAGACAGAACCACUGUAAUUAGUCAACAUUGGCACUAGUUCAGCUUGAAUAAUAGUUUAACAUUUAAAACAAGUUUAAACACUUCACUUCAAUGAAUCAACACUUCUCUACAAAAUGUACAAAUAUGAUAACUUGUAUGAUAACUUGUAUGUCAACUGUAUGUCAACUU